CGUCCCUUAGGUACAGAGUAGACAUGCUUUGGCUGCUCCGCCGCUAACAACUGUGAUCUCACAAACGGCGUGUGCUCAUUCCGUCAGGCGAGCGUAGGCGAAAAAGGCUACACUUAAUUAAACAGCAAACGUUGUAGCUAAACAUCUUAUUACGUCUGUUGAGUGUGAAGGCUCAGCCUCAGAUGCGUACAGACAGAUUGCCAGAAGGUUUCUGGCAAUGACUGUGUGCUUGGAAGUAAAAGCUGAAUUCACAGAACUCCUUCACUAGUGUUUCUCUCUCUCUCUCUGUCUGUCUGUCUCUCUGUCUGUCUUUCUCUGUCUGUUUCUCUCUCUCUCUGUCUGUCUGUCUCUCUCUCUCUCUCUCUCUCUCUCCUGCACUCCUGUGACUCCUGAAAGCUCUUGUCUUGUCAGAUUGGAUGGCUUUAGCAUGCUCCUAGACUUGCUGUUGACGCAAGUAAUGCCAUUUGGCAGACGCAUUACAGUGGAAACGGCAAAUGCUCAUUCAGGCUGAUUUAUUCCAAGUUUAAUGUUCUUGUCACUGCCAAUUUACACUUGCUGUUUGCUGCUCGCAGCUUUCUCGAGUAGUUACAAUACAUGAUAACAUACAUCAAUUUGGCUAAUUGCAGCAACAUAUUGUGGCGUUGAUUGUUUUUUUUUUUUUGUUUUUUUUUUUGCUGCCAUCGAUUUUUCAGUUUUGUGUUUGAUUUUUAAAUUUCAGAACUUUACCGAAGGUUUUAUGUUAACAUGACAGAAAAAAGCAAGAUACUGUCUUUAGCAUCAAAGUGCAAAAAUAUAAAGUUGUUACUAAUUUAAUAAAUCCCUCCAAAAACAAUUAGUUACAUCCAACAGAGUAAUUACAACACUUUAAUUGAUUGACAUGUGUUAUAGUCAUUACCUUUAGUGCCUAAUCAAUCAGGAAGAACUGCUACAUGCCAUAAAAUUGCUAAGGGAAGCCUAGCUUGUAGAAAGUCUUGUUGAUAUGUGGUACAAUCUGAAGUGUAUUCAACAAGGAAACUAAAUCCUUAUUCUCCCUGAGGUGUGUUGACCAUGAGUGUGUUGUUCUAAUCAUUCAGUUUGCAAUAAAUUAUAAUAAUAAUGCAUCUUCAUAAAAUAGCAGUGUUACUUGUUUGGAGGCAGUAUCUAUAAUAUAGUAACUAGCAGUUUAGCUCUCAUGCAUAUUAACAGCUGAACACCUCCUAUCAUCUGCUUUAUCUACGACUGCCUUAAAGGCGCUGUGCUAAUGCAGAGGUGAGUGAUCCAACUCCAUUUGUCUCUAUCUUUCUGCAGACAGAGACCAAAAUCACAAUAACUGGACUUAAUGGGUUUUAAUGACCAUUCAGUUUGUAACCGACCUCAUAACAGCUCCUCGCCUUUACAGUUAUAGGUCUACAUAAGCCGAGUGUCCCUUUAAUGUUUUUUCUUCUCUAUU